UAAAGCAUAUCAAUAAGC
rnacentral:rRNA from 1 species